ACUCCUACGGGAGGCAGCAGUGGGGAAUUUUGGACAAUGGGCGAAAGCCUGAUCCAGCCAUGCCGCGUGCAGGAUGAAGGCCUUCGGUUGUAAACUGUCUUUGUUACGGAACGAAAGACUCUGGUUAAUACCUGGGGUCCGAUGACGGUACCGUAAGAAUAAGCACCGGCUAACUACGUGCCAGCAGCCGCGGUAAUACGUAGGUGCAAGCGUUAAUCGGAAUUACUGGGCGUAAAGCGUGCGCAGGCGGUUAUAUAAGACAGAUGUGAAAUCCCCCGGGCUCAACCUGGGAACUGCAUUUGUGACUGUAUAGCUAGAGUACGGCAGAGGGGAUGGAAUUCCGCGUGUAGCAGUGAAAUGCGUAGAUAUGCGGAGGAACACCGAUGGCGAAGGCAAUCCCCUGGGCCUGUACUGACGCUCAUGCACGAAAGCGUGGGAGCAAACAGGAUUAGAUACCCCUGGUAGCGACUGA
rnacentral:rRNA from 1 species